UAGGGAAUCUUCGGCAAUGGACGAAAGCCUGACCGAGCAACGCCGCGUGAGUGAAGAAGGUUCUUGGAUCGUAAAACUCUGUUGUUAGAGAAGAACAAGGACGUUAGUAACUGAACGUCCCCUGAGGGUAUCUAACCAGAAAGCCACGGCUAACUACGUGCCAGCAGCCGCGGUAAUACGUAGGUGGCAAGCGUUGUCCGGAUUGAUUGGGCGUAAAGCGAGCGCAGGCGGUUUCUUAAGUCUUAUGUGAAAGCCCCCGGCUCAACCGGGGAGGGUCAGUGGAAACUGGGAGACUUGAGUGCAGAAGGGGAGAGGGGAAUUCCAUGUGUAGCGGUGAAAUGCGUAGAUAUAUGGAGGAACACCAGUGGCGAAGGCGGCUCUCUGGUCUGUAACUGACGCUGAGGCUCGAAAGCGUGGGGAGCAAACGGG
rnacentral:rRNA from 1 species